GGAUCCAUGAUGUCCCUCUUGUGUCUGAGUUUGUCUGGCCCGUCUGGAUGAUCAGAGACAGAGAGAGAGAGGGAAACCAGAGAGGACUCACUCCGCCUUUAUGUCCGAGUACCAGCAACGUCACAGCAUGGCCGAGUGUUUCAGUGUUUAUCAGGAGGUCUGCCUUCAGGGCUGGUCAUUAGACAGAAGAAAAAAGGAAACAGUUGGUUGCUCCAGUAUAUCUUGCUCUGAACGGGCGUCAUCACAUGACUAGUUCAACUGUAUGAAGAAGUGGAGCCACACUGAAAAAAAGGAGUCACAUCCCUCCUAUGCUAGAGGCUACAGUCAACAGUAUGCCGGUGUUGAAGAUGAAAAUCAUUGUGAAAUACACCAAGUUCAGGGAGUAGAAGAAGGAGUCAUCGGUAAUCCAGCAUCUGUGGGACAGG